GUCUGACAUGCUGGUCCACUACAACCAGACAUCUGAUAUUCUGUACUAUGAAGUACUGGAUAUCCCUCUGCCAGAACUUCAAGGCCUGAAAACGUUGAAAGUUGCUUUUCAUCAUGCCAACAAGGAUGAGGUGGUAAUUCAUACCAUUAGAUUGCCAAAACAGAGCACUGUAGGUGAUGUUAUUAAUGACCUUAAAACAAAGGUUGAGUUAUCUCAUCCCAGUGCAGAACUUAGAUUGCUUGAAGUUUUCUAUCACAAGAUUUACAAGAUCUUUCCACACAAUGAAAAAAUUGAGAAUAUUAAUGAUCAGUAUUGGACAUUACGUGCAGAGGAGAUUCCAGAGGAGGAGAAAAACCUUGUUCCUAAUGAUCGUUUGAUUCAUGUUUAUCUUUUAUGAAAGACUCAGCUCAAAAUCAGCAGGUUCAGAAUUUUGGCGAGCCCUUUUUUCUGGUAAUUCAUGAAGGUGAGACAUUAGCUGAAGUUAAAGUGCGGAUACAGAAAAAAUUACAGGUUCCUGAUGAGGAGUUUGC
rnacentral:misc_RNA from 1 species